CUCUCUCUCUCUUUCCCUCUCCUCCUUUCUCUCUCUUUCUUUCUUCAAGCCCCAGUCGGCUACAAACCCUCUUCCGAAAUCCAUAACCCAGAAUCGAAUUUCAAUUUCCAGACAGGAAGAAAGAAAUACGAGCCGAAUCGAUUUUUCCUCAUUUGGGGUUUCUUGAGAAAAGAAAAAGAGGGACAAAGGGGCAAUGGACUCGGAUCAGG
rnacentral:misc_RNA from 1 species